CAACCCUCAAGCUCUGCUUGGUCUUGAGCCCCGCCGGUUCCGGCGAGACUCCAAAAACCGUGGCGGCGCCGCGUGGCUCUCAGCGCAGUAAUACUCCUCGCUGCUGGGCCUCGUGGACGCUAGCCAGCAAUCUCAACUUUCUAA
rnacentral:misc_RNA from 1 species